CAGGCUUAACACAUGCAAGUCGAGGGGCAGCAUGGUCUUAGCUUGCUAAGGCCGAUGGCGACCGGCGCACGGGUGAGUAACACGUAUCCAACCUGCCGUCUACUCUUGGACAGCCUUCUGAAAGGAAGAUUAAUACAAGAUGGCAUCAUGAGUCCGCAUGUUCACAUGAUUAAAGGUAUUCCGGUAGACGAUGGGGAUGCGUUCCAUUAGAUAGUAGGCGGGGUAACGGCCCACCUAGUCUUCGAUGGAUAGGGGUUCUGAGAGGAAGGUCCCCCACAUUGGAACUGAGACACGGUCCAAACUCCUACGGGAGGCAGCAGUGAGGAAUAUUGGUCAAUGGGCGAGAGCCUGAACCAGCCAAGUAGCGUGAAGGAUGACUGCCCUAUGGGUUGUAAACUUCUUUUAUAAAGGAAUAAAGUCGGGUAUGGAUACCCGUUUGCAUGUACUUUAUGAAUAAGGAUCGGCUAACUCCGUGCCAGCAGCCGCGGUAAUACGGAGGAUCCGAGCGUUAUCCGGAUUUAUUGGGUUUAAAGGGAGCGUAGAUGGAUGUUUAAGUCAGUUGUGAAAGUUUGCGGCUCAACCGUAAAAUUGCAGUUGAUACUGGAUAUCUUGAGUGCAGUUGAGGCAGGCGGAAUUCGUGGUGUAGCGGUGAAAUGCUUAGAUAUCACGAAGAACUCCGAUUGCGAAGGCAGCCUGCUAAGCUGCAACUGACAUUGAGGCUCGAAAGUGUGGGUAUCAAACAGGAUUAGAUACCCUGGUAGUCCACACGGUAAACGAUGAAUACUCGCUGUUUGCGAUGUACGGCAAGCGGCCAAGCGAAAGCGUUAAGUAUUCCACCUGGGGAGUACGCCGGCAACGGUGAAACUCAAAGGAAUUGACGGGGGCCCGCACAAGCGGAGGAACAUGUGGUUUAAUUCGAUGAUACGCGAGGAACCUUACCCGGGCUUAAAUUGCAGAUGAAUUACGGUGAAAGCCGUAAGCCGCAAGGCAUCUGUGAAGGUGCUGCAUGGUUGUCGUCAGCUCGUGCCGUGAGGUGUCGGCUUAAGUGCCAUAACGAGCGCAACCCUUGUUGUCAGUUACUAACAGGUUCCGCUGAGGACUCUGACAAGACUGCCAUCGUAAGAUGUGAGGAAGGUGGGGAUGACGUCAAAUCAGCACGGCCCUUACGUCCGGGGCUACACACGUGUUACAAUGGGGGGUACAGAGGGCCGCUACCACGCGAGUGGAUGCCAAUCCCCAAAACCUCUCUCAGUUCGGACUGGAGUCUGCAACCCGACUCCACGAAGCUGGAUUCGCUAGUAAUCGCGCAUCAGCCACGGCGCGGUGAAUACGUUCCCGGGCCUUGUACACACCGCCCGUCAAGCCAUGGGAGCCGGGGGUACCUGAAGUGCGUAACCGCGAGGAGCGCCCUAGGGUAAAACUGGUGACUGGGGCUAAGU
rnacentral:rRNA from 1 species